AGGCCAGGAUCGCCGUGCCAUGGGUCAGCCCAAGGGCACUCCCACCGUCACUCUCUUCCCACCCUCCUCUGAGGAGCUCAGCACCAACAAGGCCACACUGGUGUGUCUGAUGAGUGACUUCUACCCGGACUCCGUCUCCGUGGCCUGGAAGGCAGACGGCAGCCCCGUCACCCAGGGCGUGGAGACCACCAAGCCCUCGAAACAGAGCAACGGCAAAUACGCGGCCAGCAGCUACCUGAGCCUGACAGGUGACCAGUGGAGAAGUCGCAGCAGGCACAGCUGCCAGGUCACCCACGAUGGCAAGACCGAGGAGAAGACAGUGUCCCCUGCACAAUGUGCUUAGGGUACCAGCCCCCCUCCCCAGCUCCGGGGGCCUGGAACUGCAGGAUCCCAGGGAGGGAUCUUCCCUCCCACCCCGGUCAUCCCGGCACUUCCCCGUGCACCCUAUAAACCCUCAAUAAAUACCCACA